GGGUUUGAGAUUAGAUUUUUUUGUAGGUAUCCAUCAUGGAUACCAGCAUUGGGCUAUUCCAUUUAAUAUCCGUACCCCCCCUGUCGAGGAUCCCUGGAAUUCUUCAGGGGUAAAGGGUUUUGAGCUUGGAAUUCUUCAGGGGUAAAGUGUUUUGAGCUUGGAAUUCUUCAGGGGUAAAGGGUUUUGAGCUUGGAAUUCUUCAGGGGUAAAUGGUUUUGAGCUUGGAAUUCUUCAGGGGUAAAGGGUUUUGAGCUUGGAAUUCUUCAGGGGUAAAGAGGUUUGAGAUUGAAAUUUUUCAGAGCUUGGAAUUCUUCAGGGGUGAAGGAUUUUGAGCUUGGAAUUCUUCUGGGGUAAAAGGUUUCGAGCUUGAAAUUCUUCCGGGGUAAAGGGUUUUGAGCUUGGAAUUCUUUAGGGGUGAAAGGUUUUGAGCUUGGAAUUCUUCAGGGGUAAAAGGUUUUGAGCUUGGAAUUCUUCAGGGAUAAAGGGUUUUGAGCUUGGAAUUUUGGAAUUCUUCAGGGGUAAAAGGUUUUGAGCUUGGAAUUCUUCAGGGGUAAAGAGUUUUGAGCUUGGAAUUUUGGAAUUCUUCAGGGGUAAACAGUUUUGAGCUUGGAAUUCUUCAGGGGUAUGACAAUGAAAAACAUGUAUCCUCGACAGGGGGGUACGGAUAUUAAAUGGAAUAGCCCAUUUCUAUGUUGGUAUCCAAAGUCAACAUGUGGUAUCCAACUUUGACACUGUAUGUGGAUGGUCCAGUAAAUUAAAAAAAGUUAUGUGACACCACCCGUUCAC
rnacentral:lncRNA from 1 species